rnacentral:rRNA from 1 species
UGGGGAAUAUUGGACAAUGGGGGCAACCCUGAUCCAGCCAUGCCGCGUGAGUGAUGAAGGCCUUAGGGUUGUAAAGCUCUUUUAGCAGGGAAGAUAAUGACGGUACCUGCAGAAAAAGCCCCGGCUAACUUCGUGCCAGCAGCCGCGGUAAUACGAAGGGGGCUAGCGUUGCUCGGAAUCACUGGGCGUAAAGCGCACGUAGGCGGCUUCUUAAGUCAGGGGUGAAAUCCUGGAGCUCAACUCCAGAACUGCCUUUGAUACUGAGAAGCUUGAGUUCGGGAGAGGUGAGUGGAACUGCGAGUGUAGAGGUGAAAUUCGUAGAUAUUCGCAAGAACACCAGUGGCGAAGGCGGCUCACUGGCCCGAUACUGACGCUGAGGUGCGAAAGCGUGGGGAGCAAAC